GAUGAAGAACGCAGCGAAAUGCGAUAAGUAAUGUGAAUUGCAGAAUUCAGUGAAUCAUCGAAUCUUUGAACGCACAUUGCGCCCGCUAGUAUUCUGGCGGGCAUGCCUGUCCGAGCGUCAUUUCAACCCUCAAGCCCCCGGGCUUGGUGUUGGGGAUCGGCGAGCCUCCGCGCCCGCCGUCCCCUAAAUCUAGUGGCGGUCUCGCUGUAGCUUCCUCUGCGUAGUAGCACACCUCGCACUGGGAAACAGCGCGGCCACGCCGUUAAACCCCCAACUUCUGAACGUUUGACCUCGGAUCAGGUAGGGAUACCCGCUGAACUUAAGCAUAUCAAUAAGCGGAGGA
rnacentral:misc_RNA from 1 species